rnacentral:rRNA from 1 species
CACGUAGGCGGAUAUUUAAGUCAGGGGUGAAAUCCCAGAGCUCAACUCUGGAACUGCCUUUGAUACCGGGUAUCUUGAGUAUGGAAGAGGUAAGUGGAAUUCCGAGUGUAGAGGUGAAAUUCGUAGAUAUUCGGAGGAACACCAGUGGCGAAGGCGGCUUACUGGUCCAUUACUGACGCUGGGGUGCGAAAGCGUGGGGAGCAAACA